GCCGGAGUGGUGGAACUGGUAGACACGCAGGUUUUAGGUACCUGUGCCUUCGGGUGUGCGGGUUCGAGUCCCGCCUUCGGCACCC
rnacentral:tRNA from 1 species